CCUGGUCAGCUGGAUCUUCUCUACUGUUUGUUGCACAAUCUCGGAGCCCAUAAUUUUUCUUUCACCAACAUCAUCCCAACAGAUAGGUGAUCUACACUUUCUUCCAUAUAGAGCCUCAUAAGGUGCCAUUUGAAUACUUGCCUGGUAACUGUUAUUAUAUGCAAACUCAACCAAAGGCAAGUGACGGUCCCAAGAACCUUUCAU
rnacentral:lncRNA from 1 species